UCUUUCCACUCCACCUGGGCUCAUUCUCUUGUGGGAAGUGAGCCGCUCUGUGCUCAUUGUGAGCCACACUGGGUCCAUUCUCUUUUAAGAGCUGGGCCGGUCUCUUUGGAGGCCUCCAUCUGCGAGUGGAGGUGGAAUUUUUAGACUGUACCUCUCCUGAUUGUGCUACCAUGGUUAUUUGUUGCUUGUGUUUUCACGUGUAUCAUUUUAGGGUGACCGAGGCCAGAGCUGUCUCUACUGCCCAGCUUGGCUGAUAUCUGAUAUUAAAGCUAGCUUACGCUUGUACGUAUAAUCAAUACAGACAUGUCUUUUGUUGUACCUAGGUUUUCUUAAGGUCAGUAAGUUCAUGUUUCUGUUGCAGUUUGUCAGCAGAAAGAAAAAAAUUUAAUUAGCUUUGUAUAAUAUUCUUAUGAGUGAAUUGAGUGCAGAUGAGAUAAGUGCUUUUGGAGGAAUAUUUUGGAACUGAUUUAUAUUUUGGGGCUCUCUACUUAAAGGUGAUCUCUGGAUAUUUGGUGACUUGAAAAUUUGGAGUUGUUCUGGAUUGGGUUAAAUGAUGGAAGUUUAUUGAAUAGUUGAAAACUAGGUCAUUCCUAAACAAAAUAAGAUACUGAAACAUUCACUUAGAAGUUAAGAUUUUUAAGAGUUGAGGAUGCUAAUUUAAAUAUAUAAUUAAGGCUACAAGAAAUAAUAAAGGAAACAUUUUGUUAUACAGUAGAAAGUAGGAUAUGUCUUCAAUUAAGGUAUGAGGAAUGGAAUUGCCUUUUGUUAAAGAAAAAAAGUGAUUUGGUCCUAGAGCUGGUUGUUUCUAGAUGGGGGAUAAAGGGGGGCAAACUAAUAUGGAUACAGAAAACUGUGGAAGUUUUGUAGAAGGGGAUUCCUAAAAAAGGAGUUCUGUGCAUGGUUGGGCUGAGAUUAGAUUAAAUUUAAUCAGGUAAAUGCAUUUGUUAUUAAAAGUGGCCUGGUGUAGGAUGGAUUUGGUUCCUCUCUGUUAAGAGAACAAGUUUACUUAGAACGCUUCUGAUAACAGAUUGUAUGAAACUUGUUAUUUUUGACAAACUUCCUAUCAAGUUCUAAUUAAAGUUCUUUUGACGUCAGCUGGCUUUGGGAUGCUUCAGAAGGCUCAAGGCUCCUGAGACAUCUCAGAGAAAAAUAUUUAACUAACUAGGAUUGCCUGGUACAUUGAAUUAUUCAGGAAGCAUUGUCAAAUGAGUGAUAAACCUCCUCAGCUUAGAAAGUAUUGAUAAAUGUUACUAUAGAUAUUCUAGAAAUUAUGUGGAGUUCUUGGAAUUUGCAUAUGUCCUGGUAUAAUGCUGUCAGUCAUAUUCUAUUUAUCUUGGACUGUUGUAUGUCACUGCAACUUGAUUAAGGUUCUUAGUAACACUGUAAUCAGAUCUUUUGCCUAUCAUUCAUAGACAGGUAAGCUGAUGCUUUGCAAAACCCCUUCAUCUUUAAGAAGAUUCAUAAAAAGGACUUUUUGACAAGUGAAGGUUUCUUUUAAAUCAUACUGCUGAGUUGGGUAAGAUAUUUUAAAAGUUUGAAAACUCUGAUUUCAUGGAACUGUUGGUGAGGAGGAUUGAUUACAUGGGAUUGAGUGAACUGAUGAAUGUGAUUAAACUGGUUUUUGUCUGAAAUGUUACUGGGUUUUUUUGUUGUUUUAAUUUUUUAUUGAAGUGUAGUUUCAGGUGUAUAGCAAAGUGAUUCAGUUAUACAUAUAUAUGCACAUAUUUUUUUCUUUUCACAUUCUUUUCCAUUAUGUUAUUACAAGAAAUUGAACAUAGUUCCCUGUGCUAUACAAUACUGAAAACCAGCACCAAAUGGAAGAAACCAACUACUUGAUGAUUAUGAACAGCACCAGAGAGGAAAAUGCGCUAAAUUUUCAAGGUGAAUGUUUGAACCUGAAUAUGAAGAAAGAGUAGACCUGCUUACUGAUGACUUUAGCAUAUUAUGGAUUCCAAGAAGAGCAGACUUCAUUACAUAUUUUAGGAUUCCUGAGAUUCUUAGUCUUCUAGGGAAGCAGGAAAGAAUCUGAGCUCAGACAGGAUGGAAGAAGUGUGCUAUGCAGAGGAAUGGACCAGAACUUAAAUAUGACAGCAGUCUGACUUUUAGAAGUUGUGGCUCUGGGUUUGUAUUAAAAGAUAAUUUUUGGGAAAAAAAAAAAAAACCCACAUAAUUAUUUCAUCUACCUUAAACUAAAACUAUGUAUGACAGCAUUUUUCAUAAAUCUGAUAUAUAAGUUGGCCUGAAAGAUCCUUAGGAUGGGCCCGUCAGUACAAAUACUGCCUUAAAAACAAACUCCAGAAACACGACGGCAUUCACUCAGACCAGGGUAACUUUGGAGUCAAGAAGUACAAAGAUGCUUUGGCUUUUCAACAUAAUGCUCUGGGCCACCGCUGGGAGUUCCGAAGUAAAACACAUGUCUCUGACCCCAGCAGACAAGGGAAUCCGUCCUCUACAACUCCACUUCUCCUAGGACCUCAACAGUAUGAGGGAUGGAGCUCAGGGGUAAGCCCGGAAACUUCUGAGGCCUUUGUUCUAACCCUGUCACUUAGCCAAGUGCUCCCAUUCCUUCCUUGUUUCUUGCUUAUUUUUGCUUUUAUACACUAUUUUCCCUUUCUAGAUUUAUGGCAUGUUUUACUUUUCUUUCCCUCAAGUCUUCACCUAAGUUCAUUCUAGGUGGCUCAGGAGUAAGUCUAAAGGAGCUACCAACUUAGUUAUGUUAGCCCCGUGAAGAGUUCAUGGCCAAGCAGAAGAGACAGAGGGUAACUAUAGUGAGUCAGGAUCUGGCUGUCUCGUCAUCAGCCCAAACACACCCAUGGUCCCACAGCUCUGGGUGAAGGCAGAGCGCUGGGCAGACAGACACAUGGUCAACAGCACUGUCUGGGCACUGUUGAAAAACUAUCAGCAAGAUCAACUGUAGCGCUGAAGUGGCAUGGAGAUCACAAUACAUGCCAAGAGAUUACAUCACUCUAGGCACAAACAAGCACUUUUCAGGAUAUGUCAAACAUAAGGCUUUUUCUUUCAAGGAAACAGCCUAAGAGAACCCUUACCUCAUA